GUACGUAAGUUGUUGCAGUUAAAAAGCUCGUAGUUGGAUCUCAGGCUUGUGGCCGGUGGUCCGCUCGAUACGGGUGUGCACUGCCGUGUCCGGCCUACGUCUGGUCUAACGUCCAUAGUGCCCUUAACCGGGUGCUAUGGAAUGCCAGAAAGUUUACUCUGAAAAAAUUAGAGUGCUCAAAGCAAGCCGUUUGUGCUUGAAUACUGUUGCAUGGAAUAAUGGAAUAGGACCUCGGUUCUAUUUUGUUGGUUUUCGGAGUCGAGGUAAUGAUUAAGAGGGACAGACGGGGGCAUUCGUAUUGCGCCGUUAGAGGUGAAAUUCUUGGAUCGGCGCAAGACGAACAACUGCGAAAGCAUUUGCCAAGGAUGUUUUCAUUAAUCAAGAACGAAAGUCAGAGGUUCGAAGACGAUCAGAUACCGUCGUAGUUCUGACCAUAAACGAUGCCAACUGGCGAUCCGCCGCAGUCUGGCUUAAAGGACUCAGCGGGCAGCCUCCGGGAAACCUAAGUCUAUGGGUUCCGGGGGAAGUAUGGUUGCAAAGCUGAAACUUAAAGGAAUUGACGGAAGGGCACCACCAGGAGUGGAGCCUGCGGCUUAAUUUGACUCAACACGGGAAAACUCACCCGGCCAGGACACCG
rnacentral:rRNA from 1 species